UAACAUUUGAGCCUAACGUUGGUCACAUGGUCAAGUCUAACCUUAUUGUAAUUGUUGGACGUGUGGUCUAUAUAGGCUUGGCUUAUAACAUUGUCACUAUUUCUCAUCUUAACAAAAGAGGUACAUAAUAGAGCAAAUUGCGGUCUACAAUGCAUAUAGUUGUUUUUAAAAAAAAUCAUGUUCAUGGGCUUGAGGCUCUAUUAAGCCAGACUUGGCUCAACUUAAAAAGCGAAUGCUUGGUUAAUGGGAUUCAUAGUUUUUAAAGUUAGGCUAGGCUAGGGAUUCAUAGUUUUUAAAGUUAGGCUAGGCUA
rnacentral:misc_RNA from 1 species